rnacentral:rRNA from 1 species
GAUGAACGCUAGCGGCAGGCUUAACACAUGCAAGUCGAACGGUAACAUUUCUUGCUUGCAAGAAGAUGACGAGUGGCGCACGGGUGCGUAACGCGUAUACAAUCUGCCUUUAACAAAGGGAUAGCCCAUGGAAACGUGGAUUAAUACCUUAUAAUAUGUUGAGAUGGCAUCAUCAUAACAUCAAAGAUUUUUUCGGUUAAAGAGGAGUAUGCGUGACAUUAGCUAGUUGGUAGGGUAACGGCUUACCAAGGCGACGAUGUCUAGGGGUUCUGAGAGGAUGAUCCCCCACACUGGUACUGAGACACGGACCAGACUCCUACGGGAGGCAGCAGUGAGGAAUAUUGCGCAAUGGAGGAAACUCUGACGCAGCCAUGCCGCGUGAAGGAAUGAAUGCCCUACGGGUUGUAAACUUCUUUUAUAUGGGAAGAAACUUUUCUACGUGUAGAGAACUGACGGUACCAUACGAAUAAGGACCGGCUAACUCCGUGCCAGCCGCCGCCGUAACAC